UACAGAGGUCCCAAGCGUUUGUUCGGAUUCACUGGGCGUAAAGGGUGCGUAGGUGGUCGGGUAAGUCUGAUGUGAAAUCUCUGGGCUCAACCCAGAAAACUGCAUUGGAUACUAUCCGGCUUGAGGAGUGGAGGGGGGGACUGGAAUGCUCGGUGUAGCAGUGAAAUGCGUAGAUAUCGAGCGGAACACCAGUGGCGAAGGCGACUUACUGGACUGUAACUGACGCUGAGGCAUGAAAGCGUGGGGAGCAAACAGG
rnacentral:rRNA from 1 species